ACGUAACCUACCUUUUCGCUAGAAAAAUAGCCUGAGGAAAACUUAGAUUAAUGUUCUAUCGUAUCACAGAAUCGCAUGACUCUUUUAUCAAAGUAGCAUACGGCCAAAAGACGGGCGUGCGUCCUAUUACUUAGUUGGUAAGGUAAAGGCUUACCAAGACAGUGAUCGGUAGGGGGCCUGAGAGGGUGAUCCACCACACUGGUACUGAGACACGGACCAGACUCCUACGGGAGGCAGCAGUGAGGAAUAUUGGUCAAUGGAGGAAACUCUGAACCAGACACGCCGCGUGCAGGAAGAAUACCUUACGGGUUGUAAACUGCUUUUGUUUAGGAAUAAAAAUUCUUACGUGAUAAGGAUUGUGAAUGUACUAUACGAAUAAGUGUCGGCAAACUCCGUGCCAGCAGCCGCGGUAAUACGGAGGACACGAGCGUUAUCCGGAUUUAUUGGGUUUAAAGGGUGCGUAGGCGGUUUAUUAAGUCAGUAGUGAAAUAUUGCAGCUUAACUGUUAAAAUGGCUAUUGAUACUGAUAGACUUGAGUGAGAUUGGAGUAGCUGGAAUGUGUGGUGUAGCGGUGAAAUGCAUAGAUAUCACACAGAACACCGAUCGCGAAAGCAGGUUACUAAGUCUAUACUGACGCUGAGGCACGAAAGCGUGGGGAGCAAACAGGAUUAGAUACCCUGGUAGUCCACGCCGUAAACGAUGAUCACUAGUUGUUGGAUUUAUUUCAGUGA
rnacentral:rRNA from 1 species